UCCGGAUUUAUUGGGCGUAAAGCGAGCGCAGGCGGUUAGAUAAGUCUGAAGUUAAAGGCUGUGGCUUAACCAUAGUACGCUUUGGAAACUGUUUAACUUGAGUGCAAGAGGGGAGAGUGGAAUUCCAUGUGUAGCGGUGAAAUGCGUAGAUAUAUGGAGGAACACCGGUGGCGAAAGCGGCUCUNUGGCUUGUAACUGACGCUGAGGCUCGAAAGCGUGGGGAGCAAACAGGAUUAGAUACCNUGGUAGUCCACGCCGUAAACGAUGAGUGCUAGGUGUUAGACCCUUUCCGGGGUUUAGUGCCGCAGCUAACGCAUUAAGCACUCCGCCUGGGGAGUACGACCGCAAGGUUGAAACUCAAAGGAAUUGACGGGGGCCCGCACAAGCGGUGGAGCAUGUGGUUUAAUUCGAAGCAACGCGAAGAACCUUACCAGGUCUUGACAUCCCUCUGACCGCUCUAGAGAUAGAGUUUUCCUUCGGGACAGAGGUGACAGGUGGUGCAUGGUUGUCGUCAGCUCGUGUCGUGAGAUGUUGGGUUAANNNNNNNNNNCGAGCGCAACCCCUAUUGUUAGUUGCCAUCAUUUAGUUGGGCACUCUAGCGAGACUGCCGGUAAUAAACCGGAGGAAGGUGGGGAUGACGUCAAAUCAUCAUGCCCCUUAUGACCUGGGCUACACACGUGCUACAAUGGCUGGUACAACGAGUCGCAAGCCGGUGACGGCAAGCUAAUCUCUUAAAGCCAGUCUCAGUUCGGAUUGUAGGCUGCAACUCGCCUACAUGAAGUCGGAAUCGCUAGUAAUCGCGGAUCAGCACGCCGCGGUGAAUACGUUCCCGGGCCUU
rnacentral:rRNA from 1 species